ensembl:lncRNA
GGUCUCUUCAGGGAUGACAUCAUCCGUUCACCUCCACGUCUUCGAGGACCGCCUCUCGAUGCCAUGCUGCUGCCAAGGUGCUUGCUGCUCACCUCCGCCUGAUGGUACCUCAGUCCUCCUUCGUGGCUCAACCUGAUGGGCAGAGCCCCCUGCCCCUUCGUGUGCCACGCCGAGGCCCAUGAGCAAUGAAAAGCCCAUUUUAAAUUUUAACUAAUUAGUUUCUGUGGUAAUGAAUUCACUCACAUUUGAAUGACUACCUAGACUUAGGCUUUUAAGUGGGUCCACUAAUCUUUGGUCAAUUGCAGAGGGCACUUGGAGACCCGACCCCUGGAUGGAAGCAGCGUCCAGAGAGACCCCCCACGGCCGCCUCGGGACCAGGGUGCCGAAGGAUGAAGAGGACCAGGACCGACCAGCCAGCUCUCCCUCUUGGCUAAAUGCUCAAACCAGUGCCCUAGUGAGGGGGCACUGGCCGUUAACCUCUGACCUUUGCUAUGCUUAUGCCUUGUUACUAUCUAUUUCCUAGAAGUCUCUGCUUGUGUUAAUGUGCCGGCGACCUGGAGUGUUUCUCCCCCCAAGGAGCCGUGGGGCUUUCUCCCACAGCAGCCCCGUUGUUGUGUUGUGACCUCCUGCAUGGAAGGAUCCCUUCGGGAACUUCUCAGGAGGGGGACCUGGGCCAAGGGCUCGACCAGCGCCUCACUAGAUAUUCCGAGGCCCGCGGUGGGCUUCUGGAAUGAGCAUGAGCCCUGACGCCAUGCUACUCAACUGCCAAGGGCAUCCCCACCUCUCUCUGAGAUCUCCCUAGUCUUUCUGGGGGAAUGGGUCAAGGAGGGUAACCCCUCAGGGUUGUUGUGAGUAUUCAAUGAGACAAAGCAGCCUCGGGCAAGGCCGGGCAUAGAGGAGGUGGCUGGCAAAUGUUUGUUGGAACCGUCUGGUAGGUCAGUCCCUUCCCCCCUCGUCUUGCGCCUCACGCUUCUCGUUUGUUCUCCCACAGCGCUCCAGGCAGCCCCUCCCCACGGGGCUCUCCUUUGCACCAGGCCCGCCAGCUGUGGCCUGGCCGGGUCGGCCGAAGAACCAGACCGUAGAGGCAGGAGAGGCCCCCGGAGGAGCUCCGCCCUGGACCAGCCUUCCUUCCCGGCGGCUGCCUGGCACCCCACGCCCCACGCUGUGCCCCUGCACUCCUUCCUGGAUCGGGUUGAAGCCGCCAUCUGGAAUCCUCCACGAAGAGACCUGGACGUGCGGCCCAGCACCCCCCGGCUGGCCAAUCCCUCCACAGCCACGGGGACACCCUGCACACGUCCCCCCGGGACGGGCCGGACCCAAAGACUCUGGACCAGGGUGGCCCUCUGCGCGGAGGGGCGCGCCCUCCCGGCUUCUCCUUGCCUAGCCACCUGCCCUCUGACUGAUGGACAUCACUGAUCUGAGGCUCAGACACGUGGGCCGGACCCCCACCCACCCCUCGCGAGCCCCGAGACUCGGGGGGGCCGGCGAGCCUUCGCCGUCCGCGGCCGUGACGCGGCCCGGACACCUACCUCACAGGGUUGUUGUGAGGAUCGUGUAUGCGUUUUGACGGCACCUGACCUGGGGCUGGGCUCACCUUGCUGUGCUCUCAAUAAAUGUGUUUCUUGCCUUAACAAAAAGUGAUGGGUGUGCUACUAAUAUGAGGAGGCUGAGUGGCGGGUGCC